GGAUGUUGCCAAAACAGAAGUAGAAGAUCCCUGUCUGCCUCAUCACCAAAGCGAGACAAAAAGUGGAUUUGAGUUGUUUCGUGGAACGUGUACCAACAGCACUCGUUUCACUCAACUCCAUCAAGACAUUCUCCAUAGAAAGUAUACAUUUAAAGGAAGCAGUAAUCCCUUCCACUGCAGAAAAAACAUUUCUGUAAUUCUGAGUGAAGAGGAAUGCAAAAGAUAUCAUUUUUCGGAAUGUUUUCACAAAAUUGUUGUUCCACAAAACACAAAGUUCUUGGCGCAUUCAAAAUUUUUUUCAUACAUGAAAUUCCUAAAUAAGCAAAGCAUGAGCCUACAAGAAUUUUCGGAAAUUGCAAACAAUUGUCAUCAUCUUCGGAAAUCGAUGGAAAAAGAUCUUUGUUUUGGACUCCAGUAUGUUUUUGAAUUGCUGGUGAGUGGAUAUGGCUUCACCAACACAACCUGGCGGGGAAUGAAGUUUAUCGGAAAUGAGAUGAACGGAGAAGACUUCAGUUGGACCCUCGGUUACAUACUGUCCUCAGAAUGAGUCACACAAUUUCCUCUCUUUUUAUGAAUAAAAGAAUUUCUUCUAGUUUGUUUAUUUCCUAUUUAUUUCACAAUGAAAAUAAUAUUAUUAGUUGAAGAAGAUUAUCUUCACUUUCGAAUCUGACAAAGUCUAUUCAAUA